UGAUCUGUGCCUAUAUUUCUGAGUUUGCUCUGAAACGCACAACUUUGGACAGAACAAAAAUGAGUUGGAGAUGAGCAUUGUAGGCUAUCACUCUUAAAAAUAAAGGUUCUUUAUUAGAUACUUCUCUAAAAAAAUAAAGUUUCCAAAAGGGGGUUUCAUAGGGAUGCAACAGAACCUUUCAGUGAACCAUCUUUUUUCUUAGUGUGAAGAACAUUGUAAUAAUCUGAAAAAACCUUUUUCUGCUAUACAGAACCAUAAAGUUUCCAUGGAUGUUAAUAGUUCUUCAUGGAACCAUCAGUGCCAAUAAAGAACCUUUAUUUUUAAGAGUGUAAAGAAUCUUUUGUGGAAUGGAAAGGUUCUAUUAAUGUUAAAGGUUCUUCAUGGAGCCAUAAAAGCCAAAAAUAAAGAUUCCAAAAAGAGGUUUUCGCAGUGAUGCCAUGGAAGAACCAUUUUUGGUUCCCCAAAGAACCCAUCAGUUAUCAGUUCUUAAAAUAACCUUUUUUUUCUUAGUUUGAAGAACAUUUUAAUAAUCUGACAAACCUUUUUCCAUUAUAAAGAAUCUUUUGUGGAAUAGAAAGAUUGGAAGUUAAAGGUUCCUCGUGGAACUGUAGAUGCCAAUAAGAACCUUUAUUUUUAAGAGUCAAAGAAGGUUGUUUAUAUGAUUUAAAAAAAAAGGCUUCUUUUAAGAAGUGUUCACAGAAUGAUUUUUUGGAGCCCAGAGUUAGUCUUCUAAGACGGUGCUGCGAAAACCCCCUUUUGGAGCCUUUUAAGAGAACAAGAGAGAAAUAACAGCAUUCCUUCUUAUUUAGCCGCUUAAUUGUCACCAACUGACUGCAUGUAAAUAAGCGCCUUCACGGCAUCCAUCUGUCCCUCUCAGAGUCCUGACCUUGGAUCUGAGCCACAAACUUAUUUUUUCAGCAUUGGCAAGGAUCUAUAGCAGCAUUGUGAUCUCUCUCACCACCUUUACCAGCUGAAAUCCCUCCUAGUUUGGCUAGUUAUAGCACUGUUGGGGAAUAUCUAUCUUAUUUAUCUCUGGAAAAUAACUCACACUGGGUGAAAUCUGCAUUGUUAAUUGUUUGUUAGUUCACAGUUUUGAUGUGCAUCUCGUAAAUUAUUUUUGUGUAUUUGUUAUUU
ensembl:lncRNA